AGAACGAACGCUGGCGGCAUGCCUAAUACAUGCAAGUCGAACGAACUCUUCGGAGUUAGUGGCGCACGGGUGCGUAACGCGUGGGAAUCUGCCCUUGGGUUCGGAAUAACAGUUGGAAACGACCGCUAAUACCGGAUGAUGACGAAAGUCCAAAGAUUAUCGCCCAGGGAUGAGCCCGCAUAGGAUUAGCUAGUUGGUGAGGUAAAGGCUCACCAAGGCGACGAUCCUUAGCUGGUCUGAGAGGAUGAUCGAGCCACACUGGGACUGAGACACGGCCCAGACUCCGUACGGGAGCAGCAGGUAGGAAUGUAGGACUAAGUGGGACAAGCCUGAGUCCAAGCAAAUCGGCCGUCGGU
rnacentral:rRNA from 1 species